rnacentral:rRNA from 1 species
AUUGAACGCUGGCGGCAUGCCUUACACAUGCAAGUCGAACGGUAACGGGGAGCUUGCUCCGCUGACGAGUGGCGAACGGGUGAGUAAUGCGUCGGAACGUGCCGAGUAGUGGGGGAUAACGCAUCGAAAGGUGUGCUAAUACCGCAUACGUACUGAGGUAGAAAGUGGGGGACCUUCGGGCCUCACGCUAUUCGAGCGGCCGACGUCUGAUUAGCUAGUUGGUGAGGUAAAGGCUCACCAAGGCGACGAUCAGUAGCGGGUCUGAGAGGAUGAUCCGCCACACUGGGACUGAGACACGGCCCAGACUCCUACGGGAGGCAGCAGUGGGGAAUUUUGGACAAUGGGCGCAAGCCUGAUCCAGCCAUGCCGCGUGUCUGAAGAAGGCCUUCGGGUUGUAAAGGACUUUUGUCCGGGAGCAAAUGCCUGGUGUUAAUAGCACUGGGAGCUGAGAGUACCGGAAGAAUAAGCACCGGCUAACUACGUGCCAGCCGCCGCAGUAAAAC